CUGAAUUCCUGCUCUCCAGUGCUGAGCAUCUCUCUCCCCUGCUACUGAAGGCACAUCCUGGGGACCUUUCUGAUUUGUUGAUCAUUUAUUUACUGGUCUGGCAUGUUUUUUUUAAGUGUCCUGAAAGCUUUAAGGUGCUGAGACAGGAGCACCAGUCAAAACAAUUCCAGCAGCAUUUGGGAUUAGCUGAGUUAUUUUAAAGGUAAUCCAAAACUCUUUGGGGGUUUUACUCACAAGUUGAGCUCAUGCUUGCAGAUUUAUUCUUGUCAAAGCACUUAUUGACCACUCUUUAUACAAGAAAUGGUUUCUUUGUGUCCCAGGGUUAACCAUGCCAGAUGUUGGUGAUCCCUUUUGCCAAACCAAUAAAAUGCAAAAAAUCUCCCUUCUCCCUCCCUGUCCAUGUGUAGGGAAGUUACAGCUGCUAAAAGCAGGGAUUGUGGGACAAUGGGCUCUCCUUCAUCUUAAAAAUUGCUCUAAAAUAGGUCUUACAUACAUUAGAAUGCCAAAAUAGAAAACCUUUAUGGGUUAUGUUUUAGAGCCUUGCCAUUUGGCUGAAUUUCUGCAUAUUCCUGGUUAGAAAAAAGAGUCACACUUAGUAGCAUUUGGCUCAAAAUUUGAGUUUCACUUAUCCCUGAAGCUUAGAACUGAUUUUGUCUCAUGAAAACAUAUAAUAACACACCUAGAAGUAAAGAUCCCUAUAUUUAAGGCAGUCUCAAGCAAAAAUUCUAGUAAUUAAAUAAAAUUUAUAAUUCAUAUUUCGCUAUCUACCAUGUAUGGUAGCUGAGAUGUCUGCUAACGUUUCCCUGUGGAAUUUCAAAACCUUGACCUGCUGCAGAGUGGCUUCAGCAGCACCUGGAAGAAUUCUACAAAUGGGAAGGUAAAAGGUCAGCCUAGGGAGACAAAAAUGAUUCUAAAGAAUGAUUGAUAAGAAGCUGCAGGAGGAAUAACAGUAAUGCCUGAGAUCUCAGUGCUGAACCUAUGGUUUCUCAUGUGUCAGCAAACAAAUUGCUCUACUUGCCAGUAGAGCUGGGGUGUCCCAGGCCACACACCUGCCCAUGAAUGCUUUGGCCCUUACCCUGAGGAGUGGAGGAGGAGGAGGAGGAGUUACUUGUUUUGUUAAUAAAAAAGAAUAAUCAGGUUACCUGUGAAAAUGUGCUUGUGCUGUGAUGCCCUUGAGAGUUUUGGGAAGGGUGUUCUGUAUGUACAGAUGACAUCAAAAGCGUUCAGGAAGCAACCAAGGAAAAGAAGUGUGGGAAUGUGGCACUAAAUCUAUACUGUCCAUAAAAUGUUUCUUUACAAAUGUGGAUAUUGGUCUCAGCCAUGCUAUCAAUAGCAUAAUUUUAAAUUCAUCCUUUUCUUCUUUCUUUUUCUUUUUUUCUUUCCAUUUUUCCCUCCAAGGAAUGUCUUUGAUGGCAAAUCUCAAAUCAGGAAAUAUUUAAUCAGUUAAUCAGUUUUCCAAGGAUAUUCAAAACUGCAGUGCAGGAAAUAUUUCAUAUCUUCAGUCAAUUUAAGGUAACAGAGGAAAUGUUAAGAUAUAAUAGAAACAGCAGCAGGAUGGUCAAUGCAGAGGUAGUGUUCAAUGUCUGAAUAUCAAUGUCUGAAUGAAUCCUAGGGACAGAUAGUGAGUGAGCUGGGUUAAGGCAAAAGAUGAAUUCCAUUUAUAGUUGUGAACAAGAGACUGCUAGAGCUUCUCAAAGUGAAAAGCUGCUGCUGUUCUAUGCUGAGGAAAUGGAGCACUAUUUUCCUGUUAAUUUUCUGAGUCUUUAUCUGAACUCUUAGAAUAAAGGAUGCCAGAAAAAGAAUUUCUCUUAUAAUUAUCAGUUCUAUAGAAAGUCUCUUUUAUUCACCACUCUUAGCUUUUAUGGUUUCCAGCAUUUGGCCUGGUCUAGCAGAAGAUUUAAGGAUUUAAGGAUUAAACUAUUUUUGCUCUUAAAAUUUGUCUGUGACAAAAAUAAAGGGUUUGUUUGCCAGUGAAAACUGUAAUGCUCUCAGCAAUGAUCUUGUACGAUUUUACACUAGAUGGGAAUAAAACUGGAUGUUUGGCAAACAGGGCCCUCUCCUGGUUCAUUGCCCCAUGACACCCAGAGCUGGGUGAGGAGACAUGGGAGUCAAUGCUGCCACUCACUGCUGAUGCAGAUUUAAGGAAGAGUCCUUUCAGGAGGGAUUUAUGUGCUUUUCCAUGGUUUACUAAAUAUCAGAGCAUAUAUCCAGAGUUUGAGUCUGGAAAUACACAGAAAGACCUAAGCAGAAAAGGAUGCUCAGGAUAAUCUGAUUUGAAGAGCAUACAACAUUGAAAACAACCUUAUACCCCUCACUUCUCCCUCUUUGCUACAAAAGGUUUAGUCAACUCUACAUGGAAGUGGAAAAUAAAGCAGUGGUCUUUUGUAUAACACUGGUUUAACUGCAUUAAAAUGCGUCCUUGUAUGCAUAUUAAAGAGUAACUGCUUGUUUUACAACCUUGUUAACAAAUGAUGUCACUCUUUGUACUUACUAAAGCUCUUCAGCUUUACCAGAAAGGUUUUCACUAAGCAUUACAGAAGAUUUUGCAAACCCAUAGCCUACAACUUCACAUUCAUUCCCAAACUCAUUAUCCUCAGUAUUUCUUAGAUGUAUCUCUUUGGAGAGCAGGAGCUGAACACACAGCUAAUCCCAUCCCUGAAGCAACUGCCCAAGCACACAAGAUUAGAACAGAUUUGAAAGGUCUUGCAGAUUCCUAGUCUCUCUUGCAAUUCCAGUGGGCUUUGCUGCUAUCUGUUUCCAGGUGCAGCUAAAUGUAAAAUGUUCCUGGUAGGAUUAAGGGGAUCUUCAUAGUAUGCAUAGUACAAGCUAAUACCUUUCAGUUUUACUGUUCCAUGUCACACAGAAAUUAUUUAUAAUCAUGUUAUUAUGAGUAUAUUAUGCUCAUUUUAGUUCUGAGUAUAAGAACAGAAUAUUUUCUGGGGCUGGUCUCAGGGUUUUUUUUUCCAUUUCUAACUUAAAACUUAUUUUAAAAGGCCAGGUUUUUGGGAAAAAAAUAUUUAAAACUUUUAAACUCUACUUCAAGCACAGCAUUCCACAGAAUUAGAUUUGCAUCCUAUUUGCUGCAAACAAGUUAAUUUUGCAAACUACAACCUGUCAUUUACUUACAAAUUGUGCAAUAAAUAGUCUGAACAUUUCAAGAGUUGUCCAUACUGCCUGAGUAGAUUCUCUUAUUUUGUUUACAAAGAAAUAAUGAUGCUUGACUCUUUAUCAGGUACUACUUCCCAUUUUAAUCGUGUUUGUCAUUGUCAGUUUUAACAAUGAGCUCAUAUAGGGUUAUGUCUAAAAGUAAAAGGAUAUAAGUAAACAUUAAUAUGCAUCUUUCAGUGCUUUUUCCUUUUUUAGUUUAGUAGCAUAUAUUAGAGUAUUAGAGUGAAAUAACUCUUUUUUUUUUAUUUUAACCCAGAGGCCCUGAGAAAUUGAAACGUACCCAUUAGCCUAAAGGACUUGAAAAACUCUGUUUUUAAUGUAAUUCUAAGUGAAAGUCCAACCUUUAUAAUUGAAACUAUUAUAUUGAUGUUAAUGCAAAUGUCUAUUAAUAAGCACAAAGCUAGCAGUCUUAUUAAGGCACUAAAUCUAACUACUAAACCUGAAACCUGUUUGUAUGAAAGUUUAAUGAACAUGGCUACAGUUUACUUGAAAUACUUUGAAAUAUUUCUCCCAGAGAAUAUUUUCAAAGUUCAAUUUUACUUUAAAUGUGUUACCUCAAGUGACGCAAAAAAUUUGUUAAGUGUCCUAAGUAGCUUUGAUAGUAACAAAAUUUGGGACUGUUGGAAGUUCCUGUGUUUAAUCACCAUGACAAGCUGGCUGAAUCCUGGUACUGCUGCUUCGACUCCAACCAAGAAUGAAGGCUGUGAUGGGACUUCAGCUGUGCUUGAAAUCCUCAAACCUAAUUAGACAUCUUUCAACUGUUUAGCAUCAGUGCAAAGGCAAGAACCUUGUACUCCACUUUGUUAAAUUUAACUGUAUCAAGUAAAAUGAAUAGGACUUGCCACAUACCACUGAAAAUAAAACUAACACAAAUGGUUAAA